rnacentral:rRNA from 1 species
UGGGGAAUAUUGGACAAUGGGGGCAACCCUGAUCCAGCGAUGCCGCGUGUGUGAAGAAGGCCUUCGGGUUGUAAAGCACUUUAGUUGGGGAAGAAGUAAUGUGGUUGAAUAGGCCACAUUGUUGACGGUACCCAAAGAAUAAGCACCGGCUAACUCUGUGCCAGCAGCCGCGGUAAUACAGAGGGUGCGAGCGUUAAUCGGAGUUACUGGGCGUAAAGGGCGCGUAGGCGGUUAUUUAAGUGAGAUGUGAAAUCCCUGGGCUUAACCUAGGAAUUGCAUUUUAGACUAGAUGACUGGAGUACAGUAGAGGGUAGCGGAAUUUCCGGUGUAGCGGUGAAAUGCGUAGAGAUCGGAAGGAACAUCAGUGGCGAAGGCGGCUACCUGGACUGAAACUGACGCUGAGGCGCGAAAGCGUGGGGAGCAAACAGG